GACGAACGCUGGCGGCGUGCUUAACACAUGCAAGUCGAACGGAAAGGCCCUGCUUUUGUGGGGUGCUCGAGUGGCGAACGGGUGAGUAACACGUGAGUAACCUGCCCUUGACUUUGGGAUAACUUCAGGAAACUGGGGCUAAUACCGGAUAGGAGCUCCUGCUGCAUGGUGGGGGUUGGAAAGUUUCGGCGGUUGGGGAUGGACUCGCGGCUUAUCAGCUUGUUGGUGGGGUAGUGGCUUACCAAGGCUUUGACGGGUAGCCGGCCUGAGAGGGUGACCGGCCACAUUGGGACUGAGAUACGGCCCAGACUCCUACGGGAGGCAGCAGUGGGGAAUAUUGCACAAUGGGCGGAAGCCUGAUGCAGCAACGCCGCGUGCGGGAUGACGGCCUUCGGGUUGUAAACCGCUUUCGCCUGUGAUGAAGCGUGAGUGACGGUAAUGGGUAAAGAAGCACCGGCUAACUACGU
rnacentral:rRNA from 1 species